CUUCUUAUUCCAGGACCCCAGUCUGAGAGGGCAGCCCUUACCUACUGGCAACCACCCUGGGACCGGAUGACUUGUGGCUCCCUGUUAUGGAAAGAUUUUUUGCCAAGCUGUGCAUUUCAAGGUCGUUGGGCACUCGAGGCCCAUUCUUACUGGUCUCAAGGUUGGAGUGACUUUGAGUGUGGAGUAUGCUGAUCGCAGCAGAGGAUGAAAAGAGAAUCCAGACACCAAGCAAGGGAGAGAAAAGAGGGUGAAGAGCAUCUGGAAAUCAGGAGGUUCUAGAAGGGAUGCUGGUUGGGCCAGCUGCCCUCUUCUCACCUCCUCUUUGAGGCGCUACCCAUGCUGGGUCAGCAUAACCAUCGCCAUGUGAGCAAAGGCAUUUCAGCAAAUCCCUGAAGUGAUUUUCUACUCAUGCAAUUUAUAUAUGUUUGAUUUGUUCCCUUAAGAGUAAGACUGCAGACUUCCCAAUGUCACGCACCAAGUUGCACUCAGGUUGGUAUCUCCAGUACUUCAUGCGGGAGCUGUUGCACACAUAAUGCCCUAUAAAGAUUCUUGAAUAGAAAGGGGGAUGCGCAGAGCACACGCCAAAGUGAGUGGGAAGGGCAUGAAAUGAGCAGGACUGGAGGUGAGCAAGAGCAGUGAUCUGGGCUCUUUCUGUCCUACAACAGAGGCUCAAGUCACCUUGGAUCAACUCUACCUUUUCCUAUUCUGAUUUCGGUACGGUAGAGAAGUAUUAGUUGAACUGUAUAAACUUCCAUCUUUGUUGGUCGAAAAUGUACUAUUAUCAGCAAUAUAAGUUUCAACCUAACAAGAAGCAGAAGGGCUUAAGGGUGUUUAUUUGAGACGCAGAGAUGUGUAUUUGAUUUCCGACCACUGUUUAGAACCUGUGUGACAUUGGACAAGUUGCCUCACAGUUCCAAGCUUCCCUGUCUUUGUGGAAGUGGGGAUGCUAACACUUGCUUAG
rnacentral:lncRNA from 12 species